rnacentral:lncRNA from 1 species
GGGAGACUUCGGGGACAGGCGGAUCGCCAGCCUGAGCCAGAAUCAAACUCCAGGCCGCGCGGGGAGAGGGAGUCUGCAGACCCAGCCUCGAGCUAAGGGUACGGGAGGAGUCUGAAGGCCCCUCCAGGCUCCCAGGAAACUCACACAUAGAAGAAAAAGAGGCAGAGUAUCGGGCACUUGGAAAAAGAUCUCGCCCGAAGUGGAGUAAAGGUACUCAGACAGAGCCCUGGAGCAGGACUGGGGGCCCGCAAAGGAGGCCCUGGAGCAGGACUGGGGGCCCGCAGAGGAGGCCCUGUGGCUCUGGCUGCGGGCAGCGCUGGAGGCCCUGUUGAGAAAGUGCAGGUGCCGCAGCCAGAGCGGGCCCCAGGGAGGUCCCCUGAGGUAGAAAAUACUCUUCCCAGGCCGAGAGCUCUCCACUACUCAGGGCUGCUUGCCCACAUUGGGGGUCACGUUCUCAGGAAGAAGGCUGUCAAGGCCUGGGACAUCAUCCAAAGGAGACAGGAACCAAGCCCCCAACAGAGUUGCUGUGAAUAAUAUCAUUUCUGUGACGGUGCCCCUGGAGGUGUGCAGUGCAUUGCCUGGUGUGGCUGCGGGCAGUGGAUGGAGGCAAGGGAAGGGCCAGGGUCCCUGUGACCUACCCACCCCUCCAGAGAGUCAGAGGGAGGGAAGCAACUGGUGUUAGCUCAGUGGAUAGAAAAGUUUCUAGGGCCGAGUUGCCCCUGGUGAAAGCUGCAAUCCCCAGGGAGUGAGGAAGGUGAAGGUUCGUGCAAGCCAAAGAUUCUAGGGGAGGCCCCCAGAACCUCUGCCCCUUGCAAGGGUGUGGGCAACACCACCCUGUGAUGGCCUAGGUUCCUAAGCUUUUAGUGACCUGAUGGUCUCAGCCCACAGCUGACCCUCCGAGAGCUCCUGCUCCCUACCAUGCUGGGGGUGACCCCGGGGACCCACCUGUCUGCUCCUGCC